UGGGGUAACCAAGCCGCUGCUUCCGGGCCGCCUGGCGGCCGCGGGAAUUCGAUUAGAGUUUGAUUAUGGCUCAGGCCGUUCAAUGGCGGCGUGCCUACACAUGCAAGUCGAACGCCCCUUCCCGUCGAUGCGAUUUCGGUCAAGUCAAGGGAUGUUUUAGUGGCGGACGGGUGAGUAACGCGUGGGCAACCUGCCUUACACCGGGGGAUAACACUUAGAAAUAGGUGCUAAUACCGCAUAACAGGAGAACAUGCAUGUGUUUUCCUUGAAAACCACGGUGGUGUAAGAUGGACCCGCGUCUGAUUAGCUUGUUGGCAGGGUAACGGCCUACCAAGGCGACGAUCAGUAGCCGGCCUGAGAGGGUGGACGGCCACAUUGGGACUGAGACACGGCCCAGACUCCUACGGGAGGCAGCAGUGGGGAAUAUUGCACAAUGGGGGAAACCCUGAUGCAGCGACGCCGCGUGAGUGAAGAAGUAUUUCGGUAUGUAAAGCUCUGUCAGCAGGGAAGAAAAUGACGGUACCUGACCAAGAAGCCCCGGCUAACUACGUGCCAGCAGCCGCGGUAAUACGUAGGGGGCAAGCGUUAUCCGGAUUUACUGGGUGUAAAGGGAGCGCAGACGGCAGUGCAAGUCCGGAGUGAAAGCCCGGGGCCCAACCCCGGGACUGCUCUGGUAACUGUACGGCUGGAGUGUCGGAGAGGUAAACGGAAUUCCUGGUGUAUCGGUGAAAUGCGUAAAGAUCAAGAGGAAUACCGUCGGCCGAAGCGGUUUAUUGCACAUUAUCUGACGUUUGAGGUCCUAAAGCGUGGGGAGCAAACUCGAUUAGAAUACCCUGUUAUUCCACGCGGUAAACCAUGAAGGCUAGGUGCUGGGGGGAAGAACCCCAUCGGGGCCGGCCC
rnacentral:rRNA from 1 species